UGGCAGGCAGUGCCACCGGGCCGCCUUCACAGAACUACACUUUUGGACCAGGCCAGGGACUGAGCAAGGCGGCCAUCCUGGGCCUUGCUAUCGGAAUCCCCUGCGGUUUCCUCCUCCUCCUCAUCAUCAUCGCGCUCAUCAUCCUCUGUGUCGUCUGCUGCAGGCGGAGACGCCGACGGCAAACGUAUCCUCCCCCCAGGGCUUCUCAGAAGGUAGCGACAGGCCAAACCAAUCUGAACACCCUGCACAAUCAGGUCACUGGAGGGAUUCAAAAUGGGUCUCCUGUCAAAAACCCCAAGGUAUUUCUGGGUGGAAAUGCCCCUUUUUCUUGCCCUUGUUGGACGCCUCCCUGUGGGUGGUACAGCUCUCACUCCUGUGCUAACCAUUCUCCUUU